rnacentral:rRNA from 1 species
GGACGAACGCUGGCGGCACGCUUAACACAUGCAAGUCGAACGGAGUUAAAUGGAGCUUGCUUGAUUAACUAGUGGCGGACGGGUGAGUAACACGUGAGCAACCUGCCUUGAGAGUGGAAUAGCUUCUGGAAACGGAUGGUAAUACCGCAUGAAAUUAUCUGACCGCAUGAUCGGAUAAUCAAAGAUUUAUCGCUCAAAGAUGGGCUCGCGUCUGAUUAGAUAGUUGGUGGGUAACGGCCUACCAAGUCGACGAUCAGUAGCCGGACUGAGAGGUUGAACGGCCACAUUGGGACUGAGACACGGCCCAGACUCCUACGGGAGGCAGCAGUGGGGAAUAUUGCACAAUGGGCGGAAGCCUGAUGCAGCGAAUGCCGCGUGGAGGAAGAAGGUUUUCGGAUUGUGAACUCCUGAUCUGAGGGACGAUAAUGACGGUACCUCAGGAGAAAGCUCCGGCUAACUACGUGCCAGCAGCAGC